ACUUAAUGAUGAACGCAAAUGACAAGCAUAUGGCUGACUGGCUGUGAUGUCGACUUUCUACUGAGAAGU
ensembl:snoRNA SNORD27 Small nucleolar RNA SNORD27